rnacentral:rRNA from 1 species
GGGGAAUUUUCCGCAAUGGGCGAAAGCCUGACGGAGCGACACCGCGUGGAGGAUGAAGUUUUUAGGAACGUAAACUCCUUUCGACAGGGACGAAUAAAUUGACGGUACCUGUAGAAGAAGCAUCGGCUAACUACGUGCCAGCAGCCGCGGUAAUACGUAGGAUGCAAGCGUUGUUCGGAAUUACUGGGCGUAAAGAGUACGUAGGCGGUGACGUAAGUCUGAUAUUAAAGACCGAGGCUUAACUUCGGGAAUGUAUCGGAAACUGCGUUGCUAGAGGCAGAUAGAGGAUGCCGGAAUUCCCAGUGUAGCGGUGAAAUGCGUAGAUAUUGGGAAGAACACCGGAGGCGAAAGCGGGCAUCUGGGUCUGUACUGACGCUGAGGUACGAAAGCGUGGGGAGCAAAC